rnacentral:rRNA from 1 species
AUUGAACGCUGGCGGCAGGCCUAACACAUGCAAGUCGAACGAGUGGCGGACGGGUGAGUAAUGUCUGGGAAACUGCCCGAUGGAGGGGGAUAACCACUGGAAACGGUAGCUAAUACCGCAUACCAUCGGAUGUGCCCAGAUGGGACUAACUAGUAGGUGGGGUAACGGCUGCCCUAGGCGACGAUCCCUAGCUGGUCUGAGAGGAUGACCAGCAACGCUGGAACGGAGACACGGUCCAGAUGCCUACGGGAGGCAGCAGGGGUGAAUAGUGCACAAUGGGCGCAAGCCUGAUGAAGCCAUGCCGCGUGGAUGAAGAAGGCCUUCGGGUUGUAAAGUACUUUCAGCGAGGAGGCGUUACUCGCAGAAGAAGCACCGGCUAACUCCGUGCCAGCAGCCGCGGUAAUUC